rnacentral:rRNA from 1 species
UGCCAGCCGCCGCGGUAAUACGGAGGGUGCAAGCGUUAUUCGGAUUUAUUGGGCGUAAAGAGCGUGUAGGCGGUUCGCUAAGUCAACUGUGAAAGCCCAGGGCUUAACCCUGGAAGUGCAGUCGAUACUGGCAAACUAGAGUCCCGGAGAGGAUGGUGGAAUUCCCAGUGUAGAGGUGAAAUUCGUAGAUAUUGGGAGGAACACCGGUGGCGAAGGCGGCCAUCUGGACGGGUACUGACGCUGAGACGCGAAAGCUAGGGGAGCAAACAGGAUUAGAUA